rnacentral:rRNA from 1 species
CUACCCUUGACAUGUCAGGAAUCCCGCAGAAAUGUGGGGGUGCCCGGAAGGGAACCUGAACACAGGUGCUGCAUGGCUGUCGUCAGCUCGUGUCGUGAGAUGUUGGGUUAAGUCCCGCAACGAGCGCAACCCUUGUCCCUAGUUGCUACGCAAGGGCACUCUAGGGAGACUGCCGGUGACAAACCGGAGGAAGGUGGGGAUGACGUCAAGUCCUCAUGGCCCUUAUGGGUAGGGCCUCACACGUCAUACAAUGGUACAUACAGAGGGCCGCCAACCCGCGAGGGGGAGCUAAUCCCAGAAAGUGUAUCGUAGUCCGGAUUGUAGUCUGCAACUCGACUACAUGAAGUUGGAAUCGCUAGUAAUCGCGGAUCAGCAUGUCGCGGUGAAUA